rnacentral:lncRNA from 1 species
AUCACUAGGAUAAAAUCAAGAUGGCUACCUGUCAAUGUACUUUGAAUACCGCAAGUGCAGUUUAUGUGCAGUGUAAAUGAUCGCCAAUUCUGGAUGAAAAUAAUUAAAUUGGAUGUAUUGCUGUGGGACAGUGUUAUUUCAUAACCUAAGAAAAAUAAUUUUCUUAAUUAAAUCCGAGAAUGCAGAUGAAUUCCAAACGUUCUUUUUAUCAAAUUAUUAUAACAAAUACUAAUCAGAUCAGCAUGCAGGUCUAUAUUUUAAAUUCCAAUUCAAGAACGUUAUACCCAAGAGAAGAGGAGUCCAUUACACCAUUGGAUCAAUGGAUAUAUAUUUCAUUUUCUUACGGCUAACGAUUAGAAGAUUUGUAUUGAUUAUGUCAUCCGAACAAGAGUUUUAUUCUAUAAUAUAUGGUAAA